AUCCUUUUAUAUUUUAUAGUUCGUGUGAUGAUUGGGUUUUCAUGCGCAUGCAUGAGAUGUGCCUCCCACAAAUCUCAUCACAACAUAGGCACAUUACCCAUCUUACA